GCCGCUUGUUUUUGUUCCAUUGUGAACCGCGCCGUCGCCGCCGAGAGCCCGGAUGAUGACGUCAACCAGCCCCCUCCCCCCUUUUCCCGGCUUGGGGGAAGGAGGAGAUUCACGCGACUCCCCAGCGGAACUCGGGGCGAAGAGGCGUCGCUGAUUGGGUGUUUCUUCUCUCUCUCCCCCACCCCCGUCAUGUUGCUUAUUGCUGAGACGGAGCCUUUCGGGGGAGGGCGCCGAAAUGGGGGGUUAGAAAUGCUGUAUCCUAUCGUACUGUGCCGGUCUGUGCGGAGUAGAUAGGGAGAGGGGCGGCUGACAGAUCGGGCGCUGUUUAGCGUCCGUAUGUCUCGGUUGGAAGCGCACUCUGCCGCCAGCCCUUGGGAGGAGGAGCCCAGCCGGGAGUUUGCUUCAGCUUAGCCGCUUCCACCUCGCGCCUUUCUUGCUUCUGGUCUGGGGCUUGUUCUCUCGGCAGCAGCCCAGCGGAGUUUCUAAACCGUCUCCUCAAAGGAAAAAAUGCAAGCUUGUAAAAUCUAGUAAAGAGGAGGAAGAGAACGAGAGCCGUGCUCACUAUUCAAGAGAAAGAAGAGAAAUAGGGUAAUCAUAUCUCUUCAUCCCCUCCCCCAAAAGAAAGAAAAGAUCAAUCUUGAAAAAAAAAAGCAGUAAACAGAAGACAACAGAAGUUAAAGCCAUGGGGG
rnacentral:lncRNA from 1 species